rnacentral:rRNA from 1 species
GAUGAACGCUGGCGGCGUGCCUAAUACAUGCAAGUCGAGCGAACAGACGAGGAGCUUGCUCCUUUGACGUUAGCGGCGGACGGGUGAGUAACACGUGGGUAACCUACCUAUAAGACUGGGAUAACUUCGGGAAACCGGAGCUAAUACCGGAUAAUAUUUCGAACCGCAUGGUUCGAUAGUGAAAGAUGGCUUUGCUAUCACUUAUAGAUGGACCUGCGCCGUAUUAGCUAGUUGGUAAGGUAACGGCUUUCCAAGGCAACGAUACGUAGCCGACCUGAGAGGGUGAUCGGCCACACUGGAACUGAGACACGGUCCAGACUCCUAAGGGAGGCAGCAGUAGGGAAUCUUACGCAAUGGGCGAAAGCCUGACGGAGCAACGCCGCGUGAGUGAUGAAGGUCUUCGGAUCGUAAAACUCUGUUAUUAGGGAAGAACAAACGUGUAAGUAACUGUGCACGUCUUGACGGUACCUAAUCAGAAAGCCACGGCUAACUACGUG